GGACCCGCACAAGCGGUGGAUGAUGUGGUUUAAUUCGAUGCAACGCGAAAAACCUUACCCACCUUUGACAUGUACGGAAGAUCGCAGAGACGCGAUUGUGCUCGAAAGAGAGCCGUAACACAGGUGCUGCAUGGCUGUCGUCAGCUCGUGUCGUGAGAUGUUGGGUUAAGUCCCGCAACGAGCGCAACCCUUGCCAUUAGUUGCUACGAAAGGGCACUCUAAUGGGACUGCCGGUGACAAACCGGAGGAAGGUGGGGAUGACGUCAAGUCCUCAUGGCCCUUAUAGGUGGGGCUACACACGUCAUACAAUGGCUGGUACAAAGGGUAGCCAACCCGCGAGGGGGAGCCAAUCCCAUAAAGCCAGUCGUAGUCCGGAUCGCAGUCUGCAACUCGACUGCGUGAAGUCGGAAUCGCUAGUAAUCGUGGAUCAGAAUGUCACGGUGAAUACGUUCCCGGGUCUUGUACACACCGCCCGUCACACCAUGGGAGCGGGUUCUGCCAGAAGUAGGUAGCCUAACCGUAAGGAGGGCGCUUACCACGGCAGGGUUCGUGACUGGGGUGAAGUCGUAACAAGGUAGCCGUAUCGGAAGGUGCGGCU
rnacentral:rRNA from 1 species